CUGAUGCAUUUUAUCCCUAUAGAGGUUAUUUAUCUUAAAUUGUCAAUUACUAUUCAGAUUUUGAUUAAGUACAUUAAUAAUGAAUGAAUAUAGUUUUCAAAAAAGUAGUAUUAGUACGUACCAUUUUGUUAAAGUUACAAGAUCCAACAAAAUCUGCUUAAGUACGACAUUAGAUUCAACUAGAAUCAAACAUACUAUAAACCCUUAUAAUCCAUAUAAUUCAAGUUACAGUACCACGCCAAAAUAAUUUAUUUAUAAUUCCAAUGAGAAUUGAUUGUAAAUAGUCUACCAAAUAAAAAAAAAAAAUUAUACAG
rnacentral:misc_RNA from 1 species